rnacentral:rRNA from 1 species
UACGAAGGGUGCAAACGUUGCUCGGAAUUAUUGGGCGUAAAGCGCACGUAGGCGGCUUGGCAAGUCGGAUGUGAAAUCCCUCGGCUCAACCAAGGAAGUGCAUCCGAAACUGCUGAGCUUGAGUACUUAAGAGGAUCGCGGAAUUCCCGGUGUAGAGGUGAAAUGCGUAGAUAUCAGGAGGAACACCGGUGGCGAAGGCGGCUUUCUGGACAGAUACCGACGCUGAGGCACGAAAGCUAGGGGAGCAAACAGG